rnacentral:misc_RNA from 1 species
AAAUGCUCAGAUUAAUAAACAAAAGGCAGAUGGAGCGCACCGAACAUGCGAGUGAAGCCACCAAAGCGAAUACAAAAUCAAAAGCGAAUACAAAGUCGCAGCAGUGCUAAAGAUAGCGUCGUAUUGUUUAAACGUCUCGAGUGAUUCAUUAUUUUUGUCAAAAAAUGCCGUCUUGUGUUAUUAAACAUUGUGAAAGUUGUUCCCAAAAAUAAAAAAAGAGGAUGGAAUUUCAUUUCACAGAUUGCCGACAGAUGUUGUUCUACGCGAGGAAUGGGUUUCUAUUAUUCGCUAAAGCAGGCAAGACAAUAAUUGGCAGGCUUCAUAAUUUUGCGUUGUGUGUUCAUUACAUUUUAAAGAGGAUGGCUUAUGCUUUACCGAAAAAUGUCGUAGGUUGAUAAAAAAAAAUUCCAAUGUAAUUAUUUGUAAUACUAUCUAAUCUUUUGGUCUAGUCUUUAAGUUUUCUGUAUAUCGAUGUAUGUGUGUGUGUGAAUAAAUGAUGAUGAUGAUUAUUAUUAUUAUUAUUAUUAAUAAAUAUUUUAUAUUA